GGCUCGGUAGCGGAGGGUCCGCAUCUGUGCUUCAUAACGAGUAACAAUAGUUAUGCAGACAUUGCCUGUUCGACUCAGGCCCGAGCCA